UCAAGUCAUCAUGGCCCUUACGAGUAGCCUACACACGUGCUACAAUGGGGCAUACAAAGAGAAGCAAACUUGCAAAAGUUAGCAAAUCUCAUAAAAUGCUUCGUAGUCCGGAUUGGAGUCUGCAACUCGACUCUAUGAAGUCGGAAUCGCUAGUAAUCGUGGAUCAGAAUGCCACGGUGAAUACGUUCCCGGGCCUUGUACACACCGCCCGUCACACCAUGGAAGUGUAUUGCAAAAGAAGUUAGUAGCUUAACCUAAUUAUGUUAGGAGGGCGCUUACCACUUUGUGAUUCAUGACUGGGGUGAAGUCGUAACAAGGUAACCGUAGGGGAACCUGCGGUUGGAUCACCUCCUUACUAAA
rnacentral:rRNA from 1 species